GAUGAACGCUGGCGGCGUGCCUAAUACAAGCAAGUCGAGCGAACGGACGAGAAGCUUGCUUCUCUGAUGUUAGCGGCGGACGGGUGAGUAACACGUGGAUAACCUACCUAUAAGACUGGGAUAACUUCGGGAAACCGGAGCUAAUACCGGAUAAUAUUUUGAACCGCAUGGUUCAAAAGUGAAAGACGGUCUUGCUGUCACUUAUAGAUGGAUCCGCGCUGCAUUAGCUAGUUGGUAAGGUAACGGCUUACCAAGGCAACGAUGCAUAGCCGACCUGAGAGGGUGAUCGGCCACACUGGAACUGAGACACGGUCCAGACUCCUACGGGAGGCAGCAGUAGGGAAUCUUCCGCAAUGGGCGAAAGCCUGACGGAGCAACGCCGCGUGAGUGAUGAAGGUCUUCGGAUCGUAAAACUCUGUUAUUAGGGAAGAACAUAUGUGUAAGUAACUGUGCACAUCUUGACGGUACCUAAUCAGAAAGCCACGGCUAACUACGUGCCAGCAGCCGCGGUAAUACGUAGGUGGCAAGCGUUAUCCGGAAUUAUUGGGCGUAAAGCGCGCGUAGGCGGUUUUUUAAGUCUGAUGUGAAAGCCCACGGCUCAACCGUGGAGGGUCAUUGGAAACUGGAAAACUUGAGUGCAGAAGAGGAAAGUGGAAUUCCAUGUGUAGCGGUGAAAUGCGCAGAGAUAUGGAGGAACACCAGUGGCGAAGGCGACUUUCUGGUCUGUAACUGACGCUGAUGUGCGAAAGCGUGGGGAUCAAACAGGAUUAGAUACCCUGGUAGUCCACGCCGUAAACGAUGAGUGCUAAGUGUUAGGGGGUUUCCGCCCCUUAGUGCUGCAGCUAACGCAUUAAGCACUCCGCCUGGGGAGUACGACCGCAAGGUUGAAACUCAAAGGAAUUGACGGGGACCCGCACAAGCGGUGGAGCAUGUGGUUUAAUUCGAAGCAACGCGAAGAACCUUACCAAAUCUUGACAUCCUUUGACAACUCUAGAGAUAGAGCCUUCCCCUUCGGGGGGGCAAAGUGACAGGUGGUGCAUGGUUGUCGUCAGCUCGUGUCGUGAGAUGUUGGGUUAAGUCCCGCAACGAGCGCAACCCUUAAGCUUAGUUGCCAUCAUUAAGUUGGGCACUCUAAGUUGACUGCCGGUGACAAACCGGAGGAAGGUGGGGAUGACGUCAAAUCAUCAUGCCCCUUAUGAUUUGGGCUACACACGUGCUACAAUGGACAAUACAAAGGGCAGCGAAACCGCGAGGUCAAGCAAAUCCCAUAAAGUUGUUCUCAGUUCGGAUUGUAGUCUGCAACUCGACUACAUGAAGCUGGAAUCGCUAGUAAUCGUAGAUCAGCAUGCUACGGUGAAUACGUUCCCGGGUCU
rnacentral:rRNA from 1 species